rnacentral:lncRNA from 1 species
UUUAAUUCAAGACAUGUAUAUACCGAAUUAUUGUCAUUUUAUUUUUAAGGGCUUUGAGUGAAAGGUUGCAGAUUAGACUUUUCAAGUACAUUUACCUGCAAGCCGAGCACAAGAAAAAACAAAAAAUAUUUCAAUUAAGUGAUGUUAGUAGGUUUACCAAAUUAUAGAUCUAAGAAGCUUGCAAUAACUAAUAAUUGAAUGUGAGAAUGAAAAAUAAUCCUAUGGCAUCCAUACUACUUAUCACUACUACUAAUUCAUGUAAAGAUCAUGAAUUGUUGACGAAACCACAAAGAGGCAGCCAACCAUACUAUUUAUCACUAAUACUAAUUGUUGUAAACAUCAAGAAUUGUUAUCCAUGUAAUCUUCCGUCGUAAGCUUAUUAGCUGGACCAUUAUAAUGAGCAAUUGCUGGGGACCUCUCUCUCUCUCUCUUGGAUUGAGGUACAAAAUCAACUAACCUGACACAAAAAAAGUUAAAUAUCAUUAGUACAUCAAUCUUAGUGUUGAUCUUACUAUUCAGGACGGAGGUCCAAAGUAAACAAGUAUGCAAUAAAAAAAUAACAUGUCCAUCAGUACACCGAUUGUUUCAACUCCAUUCUCAUGAGAUGCCUCAUUGUUAGUUGCACAUAUUAAUUUAGUUUUAGUCACAGGUCAGAUGGGAGAGAACCAAGGGCGUGAAUAUUUGGAAAUAGACAUAUUGGGUGAAAGAAGAGUGGGCCUGAAUACGCAAGAGGCUAUGGCCAUUGACUCUAAGGGACAAGUGCAUAAGUCCAGUCGCUCAAGUUUUCGAGAAAAGAUCAGCUAGAUGAAGAGGAAGUUGCUCUAUGUACAAAAUCCUUUGGAGCAUCUGCCCAUCUCCUCUGGGAUCCUCUCUCAGGUGGUGACUCGGGCAGUACGGCCGCGCGCCUACCAGUCUCCAAAUAUGCUCAAAUCAAUUGACCAUCGCCAACAACAUUACCUGUAUGUACAAAUUGGAUUGGGAGUAUGUCAGGACACAGAAAUUGUUUUGUGGAAAAAGGAAUCGUACAUGAAAAUGAAAGAAAUAUAGGGGGACCUGGUGUAUUGUUGUUCCCAUACACAUGUCCUCUUGUACAGUGCCCUCCAUCACCUCCAGCCUGAAUUAUGCAGUUGCUGGAGCACCAUCGAGAAGAACAGGUUGCCCUACAAGAAGAAGAGAGGAGGAUUAAAUUAGAAUAGGUUAAAUUAGAAUACGCGUUGAUCCACCGUCGCCGGCUAGGAGCAGGAUGAGACGUCAUCCGCUACCGCCGCCGUUUCCGCCAGAGCUAUGGAUGUUCAUAUGUGUUCCAAAGGCCAGUGGCCCAUGCCGCACACUCGCACUGCCCAGCACCACCUCGCGCGGAUUCCAUUGCCGCAACCUCAGCGGAGGCGUCGCCGGCUCGUUGCCGCUGCCGCCUUCAGGACCUGAGAGAGAAGGGGAGGGAAGAUGAGCGAACUGACCUGGAGGUAGCCGCUCGAGCGCCGGAUCCCCUCAGACGCCUCGCCUUGGC